UAUGCUUCUGACUGGACUCUAGUUUUCCACUUAACUCAGUUAUUCAGAUACUAAACAUGUAUCUGGCUGUUUGUUUUGGUAUACACAUUUUCCCGCGUUCUUUCUUUCCUUUUGUAUAGCCUGUAGAGGAUAAAACCCACAGUAACCCAUUCAUCAAGCAUCCUCUGAGUUGCCGCUCUGGGGCAUAGAAGGUGUACCUCGAGUGAAACUGGCUGAGACACUACACUGCAUCUUCAAAUGGACAGUGGGACGGGGGUGGGGGGCCCAUCAGGAGCCAACAGAACUCACCCAGAAGCAACUCAGGGCACGUCAGGCACUCCCUGGAAGAGUCGAUUUGACUUCUCCUAUCUGGAUUUCUACAGACUCCCCUGUCACUCUCAGGAUAAAGUCUCAGCUCCUGAGAUGGAUACAAGGUCUUCUGUGGUCUUUCUUCUGCCCACGCUUUCAGCCAAAUCUCCCACGAGCCAUGACAAAGCAACUGUGAAUUUCUCAAGACAGAACGAUGUGAGUUAUCGACCUUCUGAAGUCAUACUUCUCAGCCUUGAAUCCCAGCCCUACCCGUUGCCAAAUAUGGAUUCUUGGGCCAGUAACUUAACCGUUCCGUGCCUCAGUUUUAUCUUUUUUGAAACUUUGGCCCUCAAAGGGGCACCUGGGGGACUCAGUCAGUUAAGCGUCCGACUUC